rnacentral:lncRNA from 1 species
GACAGAAUAAGAUUUGGAGGGUGAGGGGCCAGAACACACAGCGAGGCAUUAGCCUUCAGGAGAGUUUAUGGGCAGAGGUGGAGAUAGCAAAGCCUGUAUCAAAUAUUAAAGAGCAUCUCUGAGUGUAAGUCACGUGAUUUCAUAGAAAAUGUGUGUUAAGUCCUGCCUCUCCCAUCUCCUCAUUGGUUUAUAGAAGCAGAUACUCACGUACCAUCUCCUCAUUGGUUCUACCCACGUGGGUGACUGAAAGACUAACGGCGUCUUAGUCGCAUGAUUGCAAAAAAAAGGUAUCUACAGUUUGCGUCCCACUCCAGGCAGACUACAAUUUGCCCUUAGACACAGAUCUAGGCUCAGUUUACGCAAUGCCAAUACCUACCUAAAAACCAUUUGGGGAGGAAACACAACUCAUCUUAGGUCAGUUUCUACUGCAAGACUCCUUGUGUCCUUGCGACCACGGGACUUCUUAUUAACUAAAAGACACUUGACUUCACCCUGUUGUUGUAGCCUUAUGUUACACCCCUAAUUUUUCUUCCUGUAAAAGCAUGCCAGUGGCCAUUGAAGGUGAGCAUUUGCCCACUGAAGUCAGUUACGACGCAGAACUGCAGUCAGGUCAAGACCCUGUUGAGGACGACGAGCACGCAGAUGAGCUUCCCUGAGACAGUUUCUGACAGUUUCAUCAGCUGUCCGGUUGGUUGGUAUCAGACAAUCCCACAGGUGAAGAAGCUGGAUGUGGAGGUCCUGGGCUGGCGUGGUUACACCUGGUCUGCGGUUAUGAGGCCAGAUGGAUGUACUGACAAAUUCUCUAAAACAACUUUAGGCUGCUUAUGGUAGAGAAAUUAACAUUCAAUUCUCUGGCAAUAGCUCUGGACAUUCCUGCAGUCAGCAAUUUAAUUGCACAAAACUUGAGACAUUGAUGGCAUUGUGUGACAAAGUAGAGUGGCCUUUUAUUGUCCCCAGCACAAUAAUCAUGCUGGAUAAUCAGCUUCUUGAUAUGCCACCCCUGUCAGGUGGAUGGAUUAUCUUGGCAAAGGAGAAAUGCUUACUAACAGGGGUGAAAACACUUUAGAGAAAUAAACUAAGAAUAAGCUUUUUGUGAGUAUGGAACAUUUCUGGGAUCUUUUACUUCAGCUCAUGAAACAUGGGAACAAUACUGCAUUCAUAUUUUUGUUCAGUUACUCACCAUCCAUGUUCAGGUUCUGUAGAGUCAGUAUGUCAAGUCCCCAGCUUUAGGUUUUAUGUUUUAUUUAUUUGCACACCUGUUAAUUGAAAUGCAUUCCAGGUGACUACCUGGAAGCUGGUUGAGAGAAUGCCAAGAGUGUGCAAAGCUGUCAUCAAGGCAAAGGGUGGUUAUUUGAAGAAUCUAUAAAAUAUAUUUUGAUUUGUUUAACACUUUUGGUUAAUAGAUGAUUCCAUUUGUGUUAUUUCAUAGUUUUGAUAUCUUCACUAUUAUUCUACUGUAAUGGCUGUUGAAGGGAGUAGACCAAGGCGCAGCGUGGUUAGUGCUCAUCAUGUAUUUAUUUUGAUCUGAACACUGAAACAAAGAAACCAAUAACGACAGCCAAACAGUUCUGUCAGGUAAGAUAUACAAAACAGAAAUUAACCACCCACAAAACCCAAAGGAAAACAGGCUACCUAAGUAUGGCUCCCAAUCAGCGACAACGAUGUACAGCUGUCCCUGAUUGACAGCCAUACCAGGCCAAAACAAAGAAAUACAAAACAUAGAAAAAAGGACAUAGAAUGCCCACCCUAGUCACACCCUGGCCUAACCAAAAUAGAGAAUAAAACCCUCUAUGGCCAGGGCGUGACAUCUACAAUGUAGAAAAUAGUCAAAAUAAAGGAAAACCCUUGAAUGAGUAGGUGUUCUAAAACUUUUGACCGGUAGUGUACAUGACAAUAAAAUUUGAUUUGAUGUCACCAUUGCAUCCAGGCGACCAGGACUGGCCCUCGUUAUCGGAUAUAUUUUGCACACACACAAUUAUUUACUGUACUUUUCAACAAAUCUUUUUCAAAUGGACAUUCAAUGUAUCUUAAAUAAUACACACAUAUACAUACAUAUACAUAAUAUAUAUAUAAAAAUAAGUGGCAACAGGGAGUAGGUAUGCCACUGGCUAUGACUGGCAGCUGUAGUGUUGCCGGUCUAGAGAAGGGCGGUUGGGUUGUGUGAGGAAAACGGCAUAUCAGCGGGAGUAGCACGGCUGCUUGGGUAUGAUGCUACAAGCUUGACACACCUGUAUUUAAGAGGUUUCUCCCAUUCUUCUCCGCAGAUCCUCUCAAGCUCUGUCAGGUUGGAUGGGGAGCGUCGCUGCACAGCUAAUUUCAGGUGACUCUAGAGAUGUUCGAUCGGGUUCAAGUCCGGACUGGCCGUGCCACUCAAGGACAUUCAAAGACUUGUCCCAUUGCCACUCCUGCAUUGUCUUGACUGUUUGCUUAGGGUCAUUGCCCUGAGCGCUCUGGAGGUUUUCAUCCAGGAUCUCACUGUACUUUGCUCUGUUCAUCUUUCCGUCGAUCCUGACUAGUCUCUCAGUCCCUGCCGCUGAAAAACAUCCCCACAGCAUGCUGCCACCACCAGGCUUCACCGUAAAGAUGGUGCCAGGUUUCCUCCAGAUGUGACACUUGGCAUUCAGGCCAAAGAGUUCAAUCUUGGUUUCAUCAGACCAGAGAAUCUUGUUUCUCAUGGUCUGAGGUGUCUUUAGGUGCCUUUUACUGAGGAGUAGUUUCCGUCUGGCCACUCUAUCAUAAAGGCCAGAAUGGUGGAGUGCUGCAGAGAUGGUUGUCCUUCUGGAAGAUUCUCCCAUCUCCAAAGAGGAACUCUGGAGCUCCGUCAGAGUGACCAUCAGGUUCUUGGUCACCUCCCUGAUCAAGACCCUUCACCCCGAUUGCUCAGUUUGGCUGGGCUGCCAGCUCUAAGAAGAGUCUUGGUGGUUCCAAACUUCUUCCAUUUAAGAAUGAUGGAGGCCACUGUGUUCUUGGGGACCUUUCAAUGCCUCAGAAAUGUUUUGGUAUGCUUCCCCAGAUCUGUGCCUCGACACAAUACUGUCUCGGAGCUCUACGGACAAUUCCUUCGACCUCAUGGCUUGGUUUUGCUCUGACAUUCACUGUCAACUGUGGGACCUCGUACACAGGUGUGUGCCUUUCCAAAUCAUGUGCAAUCAAUUGAAUAUACCACAGGUGGACUCCAAUCAAUUUGUAGAAACAUCUCAAUGAUGUGAAAUGGAAACAGGAUGCACCUGCGCUAAAUUUCAAGUCUCAUAGCAAAGGGUCUGAAUACUAAUGUAAAUAAGGUAUCUGUUUUUGUCAUUAUGGGGUAUUGCGUGUAGAUUGACGAAUAAAACAAUUCAUUUAAUCCAUUUUAGAAUAAGGCUGUAAUAUAACACAAUGUGGAAAAACUUAAAGGGUCUGAAUACUUCCCGAAUGCACUAUAUAUUACAUUUUAGAUGCUUGCUAAUGACCUUUGCGCUUGGAGUCACCCUGUGAGAGAGUUUGUUAUGUUAACAAUGUCCCAUGCUGCAGCAAAAGUACUACUGAAGGUCCCAUUUUAAAAAAAUUUCAGGGACGUGAAUCUACUAUUCCAAGCCCAAUUUUAAUUGUUGUAGCUCUUACUUCUCAUGAUAAUGUAAAUGUUACAUUCUUGGUCGUUGUUGCCAUGUGUUAGUGGGCACUUUAUUACGUUACACAACAAGACAAAGGUCCUUCUUAGCCACAAUUCACGCAUGGAAUUUGGCAGUUUAUUCAAUAAACUGAGGGAAUAAGAUUUGGAGUGGAGGGUGAUGCGCCAGAAUCCACAGGGAGGCCUCAACCUACAGGAGGGUUUAUGGGCAGAGGUGGAGAUAGCAAAGCCUGUAUCAAAUAUUAAAGAACAUAUUUGAAGAUAGUAAACAAUGUUACUGUUAUGACUAACGUUGUACCCCAUCUCUAUGACCGUCACGUGAUUUCACAGAAAAUGUGUCUUUGCAUUUCAACUCUCUGGACCCUAAACUGACAACGUUGGACUCUCACUAAAUAAAAGAUAAAAAAAGAAUGAAUCUUGUCUACAAGUCGACUCUUUAUGCGGUAGCAAUUGAGACUGGGAACGAGGUUGAGAAAGAAUGGGCUGAUUUACAACCCCUGAUCUAAUGCGUCCUUCUCUUUCAGUGUAAGUCACGAUUGCAAAGAAAAGGUAUCUGCAGUUUGCGUCCCACUCCAGGUAGACUACAAGUUGCCCU